CCAGGAUCUGGGACUCCGGAUGCGCUGGGAGGGAGAGCGUGCGAGUGCCCCCCGGCCAGCGCCCCGAGCUCACCUGGCAGGAGCAAGGCGCCGGGCGUCCUGCCGAGCCUCCAGAGCUCGCCGGCCGACGACUCCUACGAGGAAGCGGAGCCCGUCAGCCCGGGAGGACGCGUCGGCUCCGGUGAGCACCCCGACGCGCCCGGUCCCCGGCAGCCCCGUGCACCCGGUGCCCUGACGCUGCCCCUCCGCCCCGGCUAGCAGGCGGCGCCGACAGCGACAGCAGCCACUACGAGUCGUACGGGGAGGACGAGGAGUGCGUGAAGGACCGUGCCCACUACCUGCGGUGGCCGCCGGCCGCGGGCCCCGACGCCGACCCCCUGGCCCGCCCCGAGGCCCAGCUCUGCGGCUUCCUCUGGAGGAAGCGCUGGCUGGGCCAGUGGGCGAAGCAGCUCUUCAUCGUCAGGGAGCACGUGCUGCUGUGCUUCAAGUGCGCCAAGGACCUGCAGCCGCUGCUGGAGCUGGACCUGCGGGGCUGCCGCGUGGCCUACAAGGCCAAGCCCGGCAAGAAGAUGCAGCACGAGCUGAAGGUGACGGGGACGGCCGGCGAGGCCCUGGUCAUCGGCUUCCAGAGCCGGCAGCAGGCCGAGGACUGGAGGAAGGUUUGGAGGUGAUCGAGGAAGUCAGCAGCGAUUCCCCGAGCGGGCUGGCGGCCCACAGCGCCCCGGCGUCACCCGCCUCGCCACUCGGCAGGGU
rnacentral:lncRNA from 1 species